AGCGUACACGGUGGAUGCCCUGGCAGUCAGAGGCGAUGAAGGACGUGCUAAUCUGCGAAAAGCGUCGGUAAGGUGAUAUGAACCGUUAUAGCCGGCGAUGUCCGAAUGGGGAAACCCAGUGUGAUUCGUCACACUAUCGUUAACUGAAUACAUAGGUUAACGAGGCGAACCGGGGGAACUGAAACAUCUAAGUACCCCGAGGAAAAGAAAUCAACCGAGAUUCCCCCAGUAGCGGCGAGCGAACGGGGAGCAGCCCAGAGUCUGAAUCAGCUUGUGUGUUAGUGGAACGGUCUGGAAAGUCCGACGGUACAGGGUGAUAGUCCCGUACACCAAAAUGCACAGGCUGUGAACUCGAAGAGUAGGGCGGGACACGUGGUAUCCUGUCUGAAUAUGGGGGGACCAUCCUCCAAGGCUAAAUACUCCUGACUGACCGAUAGUGAACCAGUACCGUGAGGGAAAGGCGAAAAGAACCCCGGCGAGGGGAGUGAAAAAGAACCUGAAACCGUGUACGUACAAGCAGUGGGAGCACCUUCGGGUGUGACUGCGUACCUUUUGUAUAAUGGGUCAGCGACUUAUAUUCUGUAGCAAGGUUAACCGUAUAGGGGAGCCGCAGGGAAACCGAGUCUUAACUGGGCGUUAAGUUGCAGGGUAUAGACCCGAAACCCGGUGAUCUAGCCAUGGGCAGGUUGAAGGUUGGGUAACACUAACUGGAGGACCGAACCGACUAAUGUUGAAAAAUUAGCGGAUGACUUGUGGCUGGGGGUGAAAGGCCAAUCAAACCGGGAGAUAGCUGGUUCUCCCCGAAAGCUAUUUAGGUAGCGCCUCGUGAACUCAUCUUCGGGGGUAGAGCACUGUUUCGGCUAGGGGGUCAUCCCGACUUACCAACCCGAUGCAAACUACGAAUACCGAAGAAUGUUAUCACGGGAGACACACGGCGGGUGCUAACGUCCGUCGUGAAGAGGGAAACAACCCAGACCGCCAGCUAAGGUCCCAAAGUCAUGGUUAAGUGGGAAACGAUGUGGGAAGGCACAGACAGCCAGGAUGUUGGCUUAGAAGCAGCCAUCAUUUAAAGAAAGCGUAAUAGCUCACUGGUCGAGUCGGCCUGCGCGGAAGAUGUAACGGGGCUAAACCAUGCACCGAAGCUGCGGCAGCGACACUAUGUGUUGUUGGGUAGGGGAGCGUUCUGUAAGCCUGCGAAGGUGACCUGUGAGGGUUGCUGGAGGUAUCAGAAGUGCGAAUGCUGACAUAAGUAACGAUAAAGCGGGUGAAAAGCCCGCUCGCCGGAAGACCAAGGGUUCCUGUCCAACGUUAAUCGGGGCAGGGUGAGUCGACCCCUAAGGCGAGGCCGAAAGGCGUAGUCGAUGGGAAACAGGUUAAUAUUCCUGUACUUGGUGUUACUGCGAAGGGGGGACGGAGAAGGCUAUGUUAGCCGGGCGACGGUUGUCCCGGUUUAAGCAUGUAGGCUGGUUGUCCAGGCAAAUCCGGAUAAUCAAGGCUGAGGUGUGAUGACGAGGCACUACGGUGCUGAAGUAACAAAUGCCCUGCUUCCAGGAAAAGCCUCUAAGCAUCAGGUAACAUCAAAUCGUACCCCAAACCGACACAGGUGGUCAGGUAGAGAAUACCAAGGCGCUUGAGAGAACUCGGGUGAAGGAACUAGGCAAAAUGGUGCCGUAACUUCGGGAGAAGGCACGCUGGUGUGUAGGUGAAGUCCCUGCGGAUGGAGCUGAGACCAGUCGAAGAUACCAGCUGGCUGCAACUGUUUAUUAAAAACACAGCACUGUGCAAACACGAAAGUGGACGUAUACGGUGUGACGCCUGCCCGGUGCCGGAAGGUUAAUUGAUGGGGUUAUCCGUAAGGAGAAGCUCUUGAUCGAAGCCCCGGUAAACGGCGGCCGUAACUAUAACGGUCCUAAGGUAGCGAAAUUCCUUGUCGGGUAAGUUCCGACCUGCACGAAUGGCGUAAUGAUGGCCAGGCUGUCUCCACCCGAGACUCAGUGAAAUUGAACUCGCUGUGAAGAUGCAGUGUACCCGCGGCAAGACGGAAAGACCCCGUGAACCUUUACUAUAGCUUGACACUGAACAUUGAGCCUUGAUGUGUAGGAUAGGUGGGAGGCUUUGAAGCGUGGACGCCAGUCUGCGUGGAGCCAACCUUGAAAUACCACCCUUUAAUGUUUGAUGUUCUAACGUUGGCCCCUUACCGGGGUUGCGGACAGUGUCUGGUGGGUAGUUUGACUGGGGCGGUCUCCUCCCAAAGCGUAACGGAGGAGCACGAAGGUUAGCUAAUCCUGGUCGGACAUCAGGAGGUUAGUGCAAUGGCAUAAGCUAGCUUGACUGCGAGCGUGACGGCGCGAGCAGGUGCGAAAGCAGGUCAUAGUGAUCCGGUGGUUCUGAAUGGAAGGGCCAUCGCUCAACGGAUAAAAGGUACUCCGGGGAUAACAGGCUGAUACCGCCCAAGAGUUCAUAUCGACGGCGGUGUUUGGCACCUCGAUGUCGGCUCAUCACAUCCUGGGGCUGAAGUAGGUCCCAAGGGUAUGGCUGUUCGCCAUUUAAAGUGGUACGCGAGCUGGGUUUAGAACGUCGUGAGACAGUUCGGUCCCUAUCUGCCGUGGGCGCUGGAGAAUUGAGGGGGGCUGCUCCUAGUACGAGAGGACCGGAGUGGACGCAUCACUGGUGUUCGGGUUGUCAUGCCAAUGGCACUGCCCGGUAGCUAAAUGCGGAAGAGAUAAGUGCUGAAAGCAUCUAAGCACGAAACUUGCCCCGAGAUGAGUUCU
rnacentral:rRNA from 1 species